CACACUCCAAGCAGCAGCUUGAUGUUGGGCGACGUCUGAAGACCGGAGGAUUUCCCGAGAGGGAGGCUCAGGCGGAGGACGCGCCUGGAACGCGUGGGCGGCGGACGCCAGACCGCGAGCGUAGCAAGACAUGAUGUCACCCGCUCUGGUGGAUCUGGUGAACGACCAGUCUUUUGUCAAGGAAUCAACGA
rnacentral:misc_RNA from 2 species